rnacentral:lncRNA from 1 species
UCCAGUGCACAAUUCCUCGCAAAUGUUGAAAACGACACAUCACGUCACACUUGUGACUGAGGAAGCAGGAAAGGGGACACAGGACCGGCGGGAAUGUUGAGAUGGGAGGAUUUAAGAACUGCUGGAGUUCAGAGGUGCUUGGAGAACUCCUUUCCUCUGAAUGUUUAAACUUGGAUUCUGAGUUUACUUUACAAACAAUGGAUCCCAGGCUCACAAGCAUCCUGGCCGAAAAUGCUGAUGAGUCAGAAGAAAGCACCCAGCUGGGGUAUUUCCAAGUAAAGUCCUUGAUGUCAGGCCUGAGUGGGGAGUUCCUCCCACCCCGGGGGAUGCUUCCGGCACUGGAGGAGGUGAAACUUCCAUGGUGGGGCUGUGGGGCUGCCCUGAGCGGGGAGAUUCAGCUGGCUUCCUCCCAGGGGCGGGGAGCAGACAUGCUGUUAAAACACGCUCAGGUUGAUGGGGAACUUCUGCUUGAACAAGGUCGAGGUGAUUAUGGGGUCACUCUUGCUGCGACAGACAUUUACACAGGUGCCAGACGGCCAGCCCCUCUCGGCUCUGUUGUCGAGCUCCCAGCCCGCGUUUCCUGGCCACGUCAACAGAUGGUUCUCUGAAGCUGGCUGGAGAAGAAAGACCUCUUGAUGCAGGCAGCUGUCAGGAGCACGAGGCUGGGAGCCCGGGAGCCCCAUAGACCAGGGCCUGAGUCCCUGCUCUGGUUUCCAGAAUCCACAUUCAAACCACGGGAUGAAGUUGAAAUGAGGAGCAUGAUGGGGAGUGUCUGUGAAGUUCCACCACCAUGUUGUCGAGGUGUAUUCAAACCUCUCAGUUAAAAAGUAGUACCAGGCACUGUUCCUAUCCCACUGCUGAAAGUUUCAUUUGGAUCAAAAUUAUAGUCAUAGAACUGACAGAUGUGAGUGAGUGUUUUCAGACGAGAACAGAAUGAG